UACGUAGGGAGCAAGCGUUGUCCGGAAUCAUUGGGCGUAAAGCGCGCGUAGGUGGCUUCGUAAGUCCGUUGUGAAAGUCAAAGGCUCAACCUUUGAAUGCCGAUGGAUACUGCGGAGCUAGAGUACGGAAGAGGCGAGUGGAAUUCCUGGUGUAGCGGUGGAAAUGCGCAGAUAUCAGGAGGAACACCAAUAGCGAAGGCAGCUCGCUGGGACGUUACUGACACUAAGGCGCGAAAGCGUGGGAGCGACAG
rnacentral:rRNA from 1 species